GUUUAAAUUCAAAGUGACUGGCUGGCUACUUUGGGGUAGUAGAAAGGGGAAAUGAGAGGGGUGUCUUUCUGUCUCAAUCUGUGUGUUUGCACGUCCGUGUCGGUGCAUUAGUUUAUGUAAGUAGUGUAAUCCAUGCAACUAAGCUAACGUUACAGCGCAUGGUAGCUGGGGUUUAUUAUCGGUCCUUGUUGUACGGACAUUUGAACAUACGAGAACAGUAACCAUGAUGGCGUUUUGUGUUCAUUGAUUCGAAGGGUGUGUUGAAAUACGUCAGGAUUGCCGAGCGGUCUAAGGCGCUGCGUUCAGGUCGCAGUCUCCUCUGGAGGCCUGGGUUUGAAUCCCACAUCUGACAUUACAUUUGGAUUUCGUUGAUUGUGAUUAUCUGUUCAAACUUUGUAAUAUGGAGAACAUUUGGAAAAAGUAAGGAGGUUUAAACUCAAAGUGACUGGCUGGCUACUUUGGGGUAGUAGAAAGGGGAAAUGAGAGGGGUGUCUUUCUGUUUCAAUCUGUGUGUUUGCACGUCCGUGUCGGUGCAUUAGUUUACGUAAGUAGUGUAAUCCAUGCAACUAUGCUAACGUUACAGCGCAUUAAAUUAAAUUCGUUUCGUGUUGAUUGAUUCGAAGGGGUAUGAUGGAUUUCGUCCGGAUGGCCGAGCGGUCUAAGGCGCUGCGUUCAGGUCGCAGUCUCCUCUGGAGGCGUGAGUUCGAAUCCCACUUCUGACAUUACAUUUGGAUUUCGUUGAUUGUGAUUAUCUGUUCAAACUUUGUAAUAUGGAGAACAUUUGGAAAAGGUAAGGAGGUUUAAACUCAAAGUGACUGGCUGGCUACUUUGGGGUAGUAGAAAGGGGAAAUGAGAGGGGUGUCUUUCUGUCUCAAUCUGUGUGUUUGCACGUCCGUGUCGGUGCAUUAGUUUACGUAAGUAGUGUAAUCCAUGCAACUAUGCUAACGUUACAGCGCAUUCAAUUAAAUUCGUUUCGUGUUGAUUGAUUCGAAGGGGUAUGAUGAAUUUCGUCCGGAUGGCCGAGCGGUCUAAGGCGCUGCGUUCAGGUCGCAGUCUCCACUGGAGGCUCGGGUUCGAAUCCCACUUCUAACAUUACAUUUGGAUUUCGUUGAUUGUGAUUAUCUGUUCAAACUUUGUAAUAUGGAGAACAUUUGGAAAAGUUAAGGAGGUUUAAAUUCAAAGUGACUGGCUGGCUACUUUGGGGUAGUAGAAAGGGAAAAUGAGAGGGGUGUCUUUCUGUCUCAAUCUGUGUGUUUGCACGUCCGUGUCGGGGCAUUAGUUUAUGUAAGUAGUGUAAUCCAUGUAACUAUGGUAGGGUUACAGUGCAUGGUAGCUGGGGUUUAUUAUCGGUCCUUCUUUUACAGACAUUUGAACAUACGAGAGCAGUAACCAUGAUGGCGUUUUGUGUUGAUUGAUUCGAAGGGUCUAAUAACAUACGUCAGGAUGGCCGAGCGGUCUAAGGCGCUGCGUUCAGGUCGCAGUCUCCUCUGGUGGCGUGGGUUAGAAUGCCACUUCUGACAUUACAUUUGGAUUUCGUUGAUUGUGAUUAUCUGUUCAAACUUUGUAAUACGGAGAACAUUUGGAAAAGGUAAGGAGGUUUAAACUCAAAGUGACUGUCUGGCUACUUUGGGGUAGUAGAAAGGGGAAAUGAGAGGGGUGUCUUUCUGUCUCAAUCUGAGUGUUUGCACGUCCGUGUCGGUGCAUUAGUUUAUGUAAGUAGUGUAAUCCAUGCAACUAAGCUAACGUUACAGCGCAUG
ensembl:lncRNA